rnacentral:lncRNA from 1 species
AGGAAAUGUUGGGUGGAUAUUUAAGAGAAAAAUUAACCUUUAAGGGAUGGAUUAUAUUAUAAUAAAAAGUGAGAAGACAGUAUUUUCCAUUUAGUAUAAAUAGUUGUUGGUAACAUCUGAUAGAUUUUUUUUUUUAAUCUAAGCAGGUCCAGUGAGAAGAUGGAGGUGUACAACAAAUGUUAAUUGUAAGUGAUAACACUGCAGUAACUUUGGGUGGUCUACUUUCAUAUACACCUCACUUGAUUUUCGUAAUUGUUUCUGAGUAUCUUAAAUGGAUGAAAAACCAAGACUUGCAUUUAUAUUGGAGUUGGAGGUGGGGAGAUACUACCUGUUUGGUAGGAAAAGAAUCUUCUGCCCGCUAAGUAGUAUCCCACGAAUUAAAGUGAGUCGUGUGCAGAAGCUAAGGUAGUCUUACUUUGAACUGUUUUUUUAUAAUAAAGGAAAAAGAGUUUAAUUCAGAUAGAACGUAAAUUUGGGAGGCUUAUCCGUAUUUGUUGAUUUACUUCCCUUUUCUUCAGCAUUGUGUCUGUCAUUUUGCUUUUUUGUCUGAGCUUUCCACCAGCAUGUGGAGAAAAACCAGUGUAAUAAUAUAAGCCUCAAAAAUUAUGUAUGAGAUUUUGAGUAUAUUAAGUUAGCUUAUGAAGUUUAUUUCAUUAUAUUUCUACCCAGCUGAGGUAAAAAAUUUACAAGGAAUUUUUGAGUCUUUAAAUUUCAGCUAUUUUGUUGGGUAUGUAGUAGAAUCUUACUUGGUUUAAUUUGGAUUUUUCUGAUGACCAGUGAUGUUGAGCUAAUUUUCACAUGCUUAUUUGUCAUUUUUGUCUCAUCUUUUAUGGAUAGUCUGGUCAAGUAGUUUAUCCAUCUUUAAUUUAGUUUUUUUUUUAAUUAAGUUCUGAGAUCACUAUACUGUCUACUUGUUCUUUGGCAAAGUGUAUGAAGAAUAUUUUGUUAUGUAUGAUUUGCCUUAUUUUUAAAUGAUUUCUUUUAAAAAAAGCAGGUUUUCAUAUUUUGAUAUUUAAUUUAUAACUUUCUGUGUUUUGAGUUUAUACUUCUUACAACCUAUCUUAGAAAUCUUUGCCUAUUCCAGGGUGGCAAAUAUAUCUGUUUUCCUUGGCAAUUUGUAUAAUUUUAGCUUUUACAUUUAGGUCUAAAAUGUAUGCUGAGUUAUUUUGGGUAUCAGAAAACUUAAGUUUCAAUAUUUUUUUUCCUUAUGGGUUAACCAGUUCUAGCGCCAUUCAUUGAAAAGUUUCUCACACUGGAUUACUUUGCUAUUUAUUUUGAAAAUAAAAUGGCCAUUUAUAUAUGGGUUCAUUUCUGGGCCCUUUAUUUGCUGUUACUAAACUUCAUAUAGCCUUUUGUUGGUCCAGCAAUGGAAUUUUCUGUAGAUUUAUGGAAAUUUUUGCAAUCAAGUAGUAUAAAACUUGUGUUUUUUUAAACAAUUAGUUUAUGUCUUGAUGUUCUGUAUAUUCUUUGUUAUUUCCAUGUAUAUUUUAGAAUAAGCCAAUUUCUAAAAAUAAAAUCUGCCAUAUUUUUGGAUAAGAUUGUCUUGAACCUACAAACCAUUUGGGGAGAAUUUACAGUUUAACAAUACUGAAUAUUUCUGUUAGUAGACACGAUGCAUCUAUGUGUAUGCAUGAUAUUUUAUGUGUAUAUGUAGUAUAAUGCUGUAUAAUAUAUAUGGUAUCCAGUAUAUGUAAUCCCUGUUUAGGACUUAGGUUCUUAAAACAUGUAUUCGAGAAAAUAUCUGAGAAAAAUUUAAGAGAAAAUCAGUAUUAAACAAAUGGGUAAGCUUUGUCCCUAUGUCUUUGCCCUUUCAUAAUUGAAAAAGGUUGAAUUAUGGUCCUUUGUGCUAGUGAGAUGUUGCAAAGAAAUUGGGAAGAAUGGCUACUGUUGGUUCAGGGUUAGGCCUGAAAAGAACUAGGGAACAAGGAAAAUAAGAGUCUCAGAAUCUGAUCCUAAACUGUGUUUUGGCUUUUCAUCCCAAGAACUUUCAUAUUGAUAUCCUUUGCCACACACUGAUUUAUUCAAAAUCUCCCUGAAAGCACUUUUAUUUUUCUCUCUCCAUAUCUCUUUUAUUGCUUUGUGAUGUGUGGAAUACCUAGCUUUUUUCAGUCUAUUUAAGUAGGGCCUCCAGGUCCAUACUGUGUUUAACCUUUCCUGCCUGCUUCAGUCUCAGGCUGAUCUUGAUGUAUUCAGAAUCACAUUUCUGCAUUCUCACAGUAUCUUUGAAUAUGACUUAUUUGGCUUGGAGUUAUGUGUUCAUUCAUAUUAGGUUGGUUAUUCCAUUAUACCUUUUUACAUAAGGAAGCUUGUUAUAUGCUGUCAUAUACAUAUGUUUAAUUAUAAAGACAGGAAAAAAUAGGAGUUGAAUAAGUCUUUUUAUUCUUGUAAUUUUUCAUUUCUGUAUGUGGCAGACUGGUUUUAUGUCAACAGCAAUCAAAUAGAAGUGGCAUCUGCAGUGCUAUAUGAUGGGCUGAGAGGCUACAUCUCUACUUAGUGGUUAAAACUGGCAUUAACAGUUAGCAAGGUCUUCUAGGGUCUUGGGGAAUAGCUGCCAGUGUGUCAAACUUGCAUUAUAUUAUUUGUCCCAAAUGUGGGCUUAUUCCUUUGCUAGUCCCUGAAUUAUAAGCAUGGUUCAGAAUGUAAUUGUAAUGUUAUCUCAUUUGAGGUUUAGGAUUUCUGAUAUUCUUAUAGCAUAUGACAGUGUUGUAGUCAUUAAUUUUGGUUUCAUAUGAGCAUUUUUGAAUGAUUGUGUUUGCAUUUCAAACCAAGCUUAUUCUUUGCUGCUGUAUGUCUUCCUAUCUGCCUGUCUAUCUCUAAUAGAUAGAAAAAAAAAGUCAUUCUUUCAUCACAGGUAGUUUGCAAAGCCUUGGGCCAAAAAGUUUUGACUAACCUAAAUAGCAUUCCGCAUUUGGAAGGGGAUUAAAUGAAAUCUUUGAAAUGAAAUUCUUAGCCCAAAUUAUUUUAUGGUAAAUUUUUGGUGUUAUGGUAAAUCAUUGUUAAUAACUUUUUUCCCCUUAUCUUCUUCACACUCACAUUGUUUCAAGGUGUAUCAACCAUGCGUUUGGCUUUGCUUUGCUGUUUUCAUGCAUGGAUACCUCAAUUAGUUCAAAACUUGACUACAGUGGAAUGUGUGGUUUCUGUUUGUUUUUUGUCUUUUUGUCUUUUUAGGGCCCCACCUGCUGCAUAUAGGAGUUCCCAAACUAGGGGUCUAAUCAGAACUGUAGUUGCUGGCCUACGCCAGAGCCACAGCAACGUGGGAUCCGAGCCGUGUCUGUGACCUCUACCGCAGCCCAUGGCAACGCCGGAUCCUUAACCCACUGAGCAAGGCCAGGGAUUGAACCCGCAACCUCAUGGUUCCUAGUUGGAUUCGUUUCUGCUGUGUCACAACAGGAACCCCAUAAAUGUGUUGUUAAAAUAGUCUGGGGAGUUCCUGGUGUCACAGCAGGUUAAGGAUCAAUCCAGUGUUAUCACUGCUGUGGUGCUCGUUCGAUCCCGAGCUUGGGAACUUCCACAUGC